UCGGGGGAGGGUAUAAGGGAGCCCAGGGACACUGGGGCACCAGCUCGUUAACACGUGUGUAUGAAUGCCGGCUGUGCGCUUGGCAAAUCCUUAAUUACACAGGGAGAACUUCCUGAACCGGGAACUCAGUAUCGGUCCCUGAAAGGUUGGGUAAUGGCUUCUUCUUGCAUCUGGAAUCCAAGGGGACCAAUCUCUCUGGCUCCCCUGGGCUCUCAGAUUCUUCUAGAUGUCUUUGUCUUCUAAAAUUCUGGGAUCCCAAGGGAAGACACAUAGUUAAGGACACUCAGAAAUGCAUACCUUUCAACCCUACUAAUCAUCCUAAAACCUGUGCUUUCAACAUAUCACGUCCUUGAUCUGUAACCCUCAGGGGCACCCACGAUCUCCAAUGACUGGGAGUGAUGGCAUUUAAGUCUUUCCACCAUGCAGAAGUUUCUUCCCUCAUUCCCCAUGAAUUCUCUCCUGUAGCCAGCCUGGCCCCUCAUAACCCCUUGGAUAUACUGUAUCUUGAAUUCUCCAGCCUUUCUGCAGUUGCCUUCCUGGGACAUUCAUUCCCAUGUUCACAAUCUAGCCAAUUGUAUCCCUUCUCUAUUCAGUUCUAGCAUCAGUCAGUCAAUCAACAAGCAUUUAUUGAAAGUCCACUAUGUACAAGACAUGUUCUAGGCCCUGGUAAUACAUCAGAGACUGAGACAAAUACCUGUUCUUAAGGAUUUUAUAUUUUAAUGGGAGAAACAGAGUAGACUCAUGGCUCACGCCUAUAAUCCCAGGACUUUGGGAGGCCAAGGCAAGAGGAUCACUUGAGGCCAGGAGCUCAAAACCAGCCUGGGCAGCAAGUGUCUUCUUUUGCCUCUGCAAAAGAAAAUUAAAAAUAACAAAAAAAGGAAGCUAAACUAGAGUAUUGUGGUAGAGGGGUGUGUGUGUGUGCAUGUGGGUGCAUCCGUGUGUGUGGUAGGUUGAUGGGUGCUGUUUUAUUUAGCCAGGGAAGGUCUCUUUGAGGAGGUGGCAUUCGAGACCUUCUGGGUGGGAAGGAGGCAGCCAUGUGGUGAUCUGGGGAAGAGUGCUGCAAGCAGAAAGGCAAGUAAAAACAAAAGCCCUGAGGCAGAAAUGUGCUCCUUAUGCUUAAGAAACACCGUGAAGGCCAACGUGGUUGGAGCAAUGUGAGCAAGAAGAAUAGAGGGGCCUUGGGAACAUAGGUAGCUGAGUCCUCAUGGAUCAAGCCAGCAGGUUCUCUUCAACACCCCAGCCCUGGAGAGCCGCAGAUUGGACAACGGGCAGACUUUGUUGAACAGAUGAACAACUGUGGCUAAAUCUGUUUUGGAAAAAAAAAAAAAAAAGACCUGAAGCAAUUGAUAAACAAGAGGCUGAGGUCAGUGUGAAGGAAGAAUAAAUGAGGCCAGAUUGGAGAACGUUGAAAAGAGUGGAUUCCUUAUACAAGGAUGAGUUCCCCACCCUCCUUUGCCCUUCUGCCAUGGGAUGACAUAGCAAGAAGGCCCUCAUAAGACACUGGCCCCUCUAUCUUGGACUUCCCAGCCCCCAGAACGGUGAUGUCUGCUGGGACAAUGGCGCACAAGCAGAGGAGAUAUUCAUCAGCUGUACAUCUGCUGUUCCUUGCUGCCCCACAAGCCCAGAAUUCUGGUUGUCUUACAAUGUUCGGAGGUUCAGUGACAUGUGUGUUUCAUCUUUGAUUGGUAAGUGGGGGUGCUGACAGCCCUGAGAGGUCACAUUUUCCAUUCAAACCAGAACUUGUUUUGAAUGCAGAAAAAAAGGCAAUGGCAUUCUAAAAAAUGUGAAUGACCAGGGAAAUGGAUCAUAUAUCUUUUCUUACUUGUUAUAUUUCCCUGUAUUAGCUAAUCACAUAUGCUGAACAUGAAGACGUAGAAGAAAUGGGAAAUAUUGGGCAAUGUAUAGUUCUUUUUCCUUUCAGCCAUUCCUUGCUCAUCACUAAGCUGAAGAUAGAGUGUUGGUAGAAUGCUUACAUAUCAAGGAAUAAAAGCAAUUGAGCUGGUUGUGCAGUGUUUCCAAUAUUCUGGUAAGAACAAAAUGCAUAUGCAUGUACAAGCUGAAAUGUGAACUGGAUAAUUUCAGUGAUUCCACUAUAAAGUAAAUGCUCUUAUAUUUGCACUUAAAACUGGUAGUGCACAAUAUAAAAAUGAACAAUAAUAGUCAAGCUAAUAAAUUAAAUUUUCCAUUUUUAAAACUUAGAAUGACGUUAAAUAAAUGAAAAAAACCCACACCACAAGUUCGGAGACACACUACAGAAGAAAGGGAACAUCUUUAUAUUCUAGUACUUUAACAGCCCUUUUUAUUUCCAAGCUCCACAAAUUAUGUAGCUGUCCUGCUUCAAAAUCUGUCAUUCAUGUUGCAUUGUAACUUAUGAAAACCCACGCUUCUUCUUUAAAACUAUUGUCUCUGUUGUGAGUUCUUAAAGUUCAUUUUGAAAACUACAAAUCAAGAAUCGAUUCUUUUCUUUGUUUCUAAAUCUCUGCUGUGCUACCUCUGUACCCCAAGAAAAUGGACAGGAGUAUAGGAAAUGCAGGAAAGCCACAUUGGUUAAUACCUCAAAACACUACCCCCCUAUAUUAAAAACAAAAACAGAACAAAAUCUAGCAGCUAUAAAUUCCUUGAAGGCAGGGACUUUUUUUCUUCCUCCUGGGUUUACCACAGUGUUUUCCUUUUUUCUUGUAAUAAGGACCUAAUAGCUAUUUGUCCCUUUCCUCAACAAGUGUUUGUUCAAUUAAUUUUUUUGUUUUGUUUUGUUUUGUUUUGUUUUUUGAGACGGAGUCUUGCUCUAUAGCCCAGGCUGGAGUGCAGUGGCACAAUCCUGGCUCACUGCAACCUCCACCUCCUGGGUUCAAGCAAUUCUCCUGCCUCAGCUUCCUGUAGCUGGGAUUACAGGCAUCUGCCACCAACCAACCCCUGCUAAUUUUUCUUUUUCUUUUCUUUUUUUUCUUAAGAGACGGAGUCUCGCUCUGUUGCCCAGGCUGAAGUGCAGUGGCAUGAUCUCGGCUCACUGCAAGCUCCGCCUCCUGGGUUCACACCAUUCUCCUGCCUCAGCCUCCCGAGUAGCUGGGACUACAGGCGCCUGCCACCACAGUCGGCUAAUUUGUAUAUUUUUAGUAGAGACGGGGUUUCACCAUGUCAGCCAGGAUGGUCUCGAUCUCCUGACCUCGUGAUCUGCCCGCCUCGGCCUCCCAAAGUGCUGGGAUUACAGUCAUGAGCCACCACGCCCAGUCAUUUUUUUGGUAUUUUUAGUAGAGAUGGGGUUUCACCAUGUUGGCCAGGCUGGUUUCGAACUCCUGACCUCAAGUGAUCCGCCUGCUUCGUGCUCCCAAAGUGCUAGGAUUACAGGCGUGAGCCACUGUGACAGGCCUGUUCAAUUAAAUUUAAAACACUCUUCAUUUUGCUUUUCCAGUUCUCAACCACCACCAGAGGGUCCCUAUUGUCUUAUCCCAUAAAUUGAAACUCUUAACCAGGCAUCUAAUGCUCUAUAAUCUGGACUCAGUCUACUUUUCCAAAUACGUCUCCCAAGGCUCCCUGGAACUCAGUAAGUAAUUACUGAGCAAAGAUGGAAUGACUGAUCAACAGCUCCUAGGAGUUACAGAAACUGCAGCUGGAUAAAUCAUUAGACCUUUUAGGGUCAGGUUUAUGAAACAGAUGCAAGCUAACAUUAAGGCCCCAAUAUUGGGAGCUGGUGGUGAGUGUUACAGACCCUAGGCGAGAAUAGUAAGAAAUGCGAUUCCGAGAACAGUCAUCCCGGCAGGAUCAUAUUCUGGCUUCUGCAAGAUUCAGGGACCCAAAGUUUGCUGGAGAAUUGCCUGCAGCUGCUGCUAGUCCACCAGGAAAGGGUAUGAGCAGCUGGGCCUCACAACAGGGGCCUUCCUGUAGAGCUCCCUACCUGAGCUCAGGCAAGCUCCUACAUAUGAGAGUUUGAGGGCCAUGAAAUCCUAGCCAUUACUAAGGGUCAGAAUUUAGUAUACUGGUAAUAGCCCUUAAGAAAAGCUUCGGGCAGAGACUGGCUUUUAAAGCAGCAUAAUUCAAACAGGCGUUAUUCUGAGCGUACCUUUGUGGGAAACGAUUUUGUUUUUAACAUGCCUACUGGAGGGCUCAUAACCUAACAGGGCUGGGAGAAACUUCAAGAACCAUCUCAUCCAUUCCCCUGUCUUUAGCUAGAAAACCCUUAAAUUUUUUUUCAGAAAACUACCCAUGUAUCCCCAGCCUUUUGGUAACUCCAUUUGUUCAUCAAUCCUGAUUUCAGGGAGCUAUUUCUGAUAUUUAACCUAAUCUUCUUCGGCUCUCUUUUUUCAUCUCAUGCUUCUCAACUCUAAAUGGCCCUCGUGCCUACUGCUUGCUUAUUGACACAAAGUUGAUAUUAUAAUCACUGUUAUUGUUUUAUCCUUAUGGUUAUUAUUAGAACUGACAGCACAUUAAGAGGUGUACAAAGAUACAUAAGUAAAUAUAUGUUUAGAUCAGUAGUCUUACAACUUUGAAAAAUCCAGGACUGUUUGGGUGUUUUUUUUUUAGACGGAGUCUUGCUCUGUUGCCCAGGCUGGAGUGCAGUGGCGUGAUCUCAGCUCACUGCAAGCUCCGUCUCCUGGGUUCAUGCCAUUCUCCUGCCUCAGCCUCCCGAGUAGCUGGGACUACAGGUGCCUGCCACCACGUCCGGCUAAUUUUGUUUUUGUAUUUUUAUUAGAGACGGGGCUUCACCGUGUUAACCAGGAUGGUCUUGAUCUCCUGAUCUCGUGACCAGGUGAUCUGCCUGCCUCAGCCUCCCAAAGUGCUGGGAUUACAGGCCUGAGCCACUGCGCCCAGCCAAUUUUUGUAUUUUUAAUGCAGACAGUGUUUCACCAUGUUGGCAAGGCUGGUCUCAAACUCCUGACCUCAAGUGAUCUGCCCGCCUCGGCCUCCCAAAGUGCUAGGAUUACAGGCGUGAGCCACCGCACCUGAUCUGUUCGUAUGUUUUUAACUUGGAAAUGGGGAUGUGAGCAGAUACGAAUAGCAGAGUAGCAGGAUUGUUUUCUAUAUCUCAGACUGUGGCCCACUCCUCAACAGCCAUCACUCAUCUUGCACCCAGCCUGAGAAGAAAACAUAUAAUCGAUAAAUGUCUUUUAAACAUGCAAAAGGGGAGCAGGAAGGUGAUGGUGGAUGCUAUGAGGGUAGAAACCAUGGGGGCCUGGGGACUGCAUGAAAAUCUGCCUCAACCUCAUGUGAGAACUGGAAGAAAAUAUUUGUCAGAAGUGAAUUGUAACAAUACCUACCCUACCCUUCCCUCAAAGUGUCCCAGCUAAAAGCAGAAAUGAAAAACAAAGAGAUGUACCCUAUAGGAAAGACAUUCAAAGGCCUGGGGCUUACGUGAUCUUGUUCUGUUUACCUUUUUUAAAAAAUUCAUAAAACAUUUAAAAAAAUGUAUCCAUGUUGCAAAAUGUACACUUAGUGCAUUACUUCCAACAGCUGCAUGUUGUUCCAUGGCACCCAUUACCUCGUACUUACCCAUUGUGCUGGUGAUGUAUAUGCUAAGGUUGCCUUCAAUAUCUGGCUAGCUCAAGUGCUGCUGUGAUGAACACCUCAAUUGUGGUCACUUAAGGACCUGUGCAAGAGCUUCUUAGGGGUGCACAUUCCCAGGAGUGGAACUGCUGGGUCAUCGGGAAAAAUACAUUCUACCACAUUCUAUAUUUCAUUAAGUAUUGUUAGUUAAUGCUCCAAAAUGAUUGUACCAGGACUUAACUCCCAAUAACAAAGCAGGAGGAUUCAAAUUUCUUCCUAUCCUAGGCAACACUUGAUAUUACUAAACUUUCACGUUUGCCUAUUUAAUAGAUGUAAAUAAGUAUUUUGGUGUUUUUAUGUACAGUUAUCUGAUUAUAAGUGAGGUUGGAUAUCUCUUCAUCUACUUGUUAGUCUCUCAAGGUUCCCUUCUAUAAAUCUGCCUGUUCAUAUCCUUUGGCUAUUUUUCUAUUGCAUUUCUUUUUUUUCUCAGUUAUUUGUAGGAAUUCUUAAUACUGUAUAUUCUAGAUAUUAAUCUUUUGUUGGCUUCAGCCUUUGAAAAUACUUUCCAAUCUAUCAACUUUCUCUAAACUUGUUUAUGAUGUUUUUUGUUGAACAGAACAGUUUAAAAUUUUGAUGUCAUCAAGUUCAUCUUUUUUUGAUUUUAUAGUUUAUGCUUUGAGUCUUGUUUAAAUGCUUUUCUUCUUUUUUCUACCCUAAGAUUACAAAGCUAUUCUUCUAUUUUUAAUUUCUAUUAGUUUUACCUUUUACUUUUAGGUUUUUUUUUGUUGUUGUUGUUGCUAAUGUAGAGCUCACCUUUGCAUAUGGUAUGAGAUAGGGGUUUAAUUUUAUAUUUUUCUCACAGUGAAUCAAUUUCCCCAACAUUAUCUAUGAAACCAAAUCUCUGUGUUAGAUUGGAUUAUUGUUCCCAAUCCUUCUUGUUCUCCUGGCUCUACAAUUAUACACCUGUGCCUUUUGGCAUGAAGUUUUGCAUUACCUUCCACUAUUGAUGUUCAACUUGGCCAUAUGACUUGUUUGGCCAAUGGAAUGUUGGUGAAUAUGAUGAGAGGAGAGGUGUUAAAUGUAUUUGAAUGAUUUGGCUUGACCUCUUGCCAGAAGGAGACAUGUGGUGAAGACUUGAAUCUGACCUGCAUCCUGGAGCCAAGUCCAGCUGAAUUCAGCUGAACCCAACCAAGUCUUAAGGAGCCCAGAUGAGAUGAGCUGAAUCUCAGUUCAUAUACAGACCCAUAAGGGAGAAAAAUAAAUGACUACCAUAAGCCACUGAUAAGUUGGGAUUAUCUGUUACAUAAUAUUAUUAUUGCAGCAAGCAAUAGCUGACUAACUCAACAUGAUUUCCUCAUGGAUUUGUGGUGUUACCAUGAUCACAUAUCAGAUUCUCUUAUGUAAAUGGGUUGUUUCUGAGUUCUCUAUUCUGUUUCAUGGUUCUGUAUGUCUGCUACUAUAAAAAAUGACCGACUUAUAAAGAAAUUUAGUCUUCCAUGUGCAUUUUAGAAUACGUUUAAAUUCCCCAAAUCUUGCUACAAGUUUGGUUUGCAUUGAAUUUAUAAACACAUUUAGAGAUAAUUGAGAUCUUAAUAACGUUACAUCAUCUUAUCCAUAAACAUUAUAUAUACCUCUAUUUGGGUUUCCUUUGAAUUCCUUCAAUAAAUUCAAAUAUGUUAAUUCCUGGAUACUUUAUAGUUUUGUUGCUUUUAUAAAUAGUAUCUUAUUUUCUAGUUUGUUAGUGUAAGUGUGAAUGAAUACUUUCAG
rnacentral:lncRNA from 1 species